AUGUCUUUUGGAUGUUCUUAGUUCUUUGGCGAUGAGAGUUUGUGCUCUGACACUAAGAUAACUUUUUUUUUGUUCUCGUUCUGUUCUAGGGUGAAAGGAACGUGUCAUUGUGGUUAAAAAAGAUGAAUCAGUAUACAUGUGAUAUAACUGUCAAAGCCGGAAUGUUGAAAGCAUACAUCCCGCCCAAGGCAUGCUGGGAGGAUCUCCUAUCAGGCAGCUUGGAAACUUCCAGACGCCGAUAUGCCUUACGUUUGGUGCAGCCGAGGUUAUGAACUUUCAAGUGGAAUAUGCCCCUUGAGGAAAACAAUUAGGAUCCACUGUCCAGCAAGGAGGUUGCAGAAUCAGCAACUGACAUACUGACUGAUGAAACAUGAUGGUGCGUGCAGCAAGAUAGGGUUUGACUGCAGAUGCCGACCACCUGCUUCUGUAAAUUUGUACUAACCA